GGGCAGCCUAGCUGGCCGUCUCGCAGGUCCCUCUCACCCCCUGCGCCGCCGUCGCACCGUGCCCUCCCCCAUUGCGGGCUCUGUCAUUCUCAAACCCAGGUCGACCCACUCUUCCCGCCCACUGGCCCGCCGCAGCUCCCUCCAUUGGCUCGCGGCACCUGUCCGUUUCCUGGGAGAGUUCAGCACCUCCCGGCAGGAAGAGGCUCCGGCCUCAUUGGAUCCCUUUUACAGUUGGAUUCUCCCUCUUGGAUCUGGCUCUGCCUUAGUCCGACCUAGAGGGAUCAGCUUCGCCCACGCCCACUCUCACCCGGAACCUUUCAUCUCUUAUUGAAGCCUUUUAGGCCCAUUGGGAUGUUCAUUAGAACUCUGAAAACUACAGUUCUCCCCUUUAUGAGGACUGCACCACAGCUCGCCCUCUCCUGGGUUCCGGUAAGAAGAGAUUCCAAUACCACUCUUUUUUCAGAAUUCAGAAAGGCAAGAGACCACCUUACUGAGCUUCAAACUGGGGCUGGGAACGCUGCCAUGAAUUGGGCUUGGUCUGUCUGAAGGGAGCCACCUUUUCGACAAUCCUUAGACUUCUUUUGCCUGUUGGAAUUACACCUUGGAUCGUGGCGAAGUCUAUAGAGGUCAGAUUAAGAAGAACCAAAGCAGAAUAAACGUAGAACCCGAUGCUGAGUUCACGAGUGAGGACGACCUCUUCCUAUAUGCUUUGCUAUACCCUGCGUUUUGAACAUUAAGGACGAGAUAGGAGGCCCAUAAUGUUUCUUCUUGCUUUAAUCCUGUCGUGGCAACGUUGACUUCCAGUAAGAAAGCCUGGUUGCAGAGUGAGCCCAUGGGACAGCCCUCUGAAAUUAUACUGCUUACAACCAUGCUGAGUCUGCAAGGACUUCGUCCAAGCCUUUCCGUCCAGGACCUCAAACAGAUCCAAUCACAAGAAGAGAGAUUUCAGGAAAGAGAAAAUUAUUCCUAUCAUCGGGGUUUUUGAAGAACAUGAAAUGACUGGGAAAAUAAUCAUGUUAAGUGGAAAAAAAAAAGAAAUCUAUCUGUUGUAAUUUUCAAAUAAUUUUUAAAUAAAUUUGAAAAAUUAAGAGAACUAUAUAUAUAAUACAUUCCUAAUCUUGUGAAAAAUAUAUAUGCAUUAAUAUUAUUGAAAGAAAUAUAUCAAAAGGUGAACAGCAAUUAUCACCAAUCUAGAUUAUGAGAUUAGGAGUGAUUUUUUUUCUUUGUCCUAUACUAUUUAAUAUUUUCUACCAUUAAAAUAUUCUGAUUUUCUAAUUAGAAUAGUACGUUAGACAAAGAAGGACAAAUAUCACAUGAACUCUCACUCUCUUAUGGAACAGAUCUUGUGGAAUCUAAAAAAGUUGAACUCAUAGAAAAAGAGGAAAAUGAUGGUUACCAGUUAGAAAAAAGGAAUAAGUUCAAGAGAUCUAUUGUACACCAUGGUCAAUAUAGUUAACAAUAUAUUUUAUACUUUAAAAUUGCUAAGGUAGUAGAUUUUAAGUGUUCUCACCACACAAAAAAAUAAGUAUGUGAAAAGCAUAUGGUAAUUAGCUUGAUUUAACCACGCCACAGUGCAUACAUAUGUCAAAACAUCAUGUUGUAUACUAUAAAUAUAUACACUUUUUGUCAAUUUUAAACAGGUUAUAAAAAAACAUGUUAUUGUUGAUAAUUAUGAAAAAUUUUAAUGAUGUGGAAAUGUGUACAGUAUAAUGAUAAAUGAAAGAGUAGUAAAAAUCCUUAUAAAAUAUAA
rnacentral:lncRNA from 1 species